rnacentral:rRNA from 1 species
AAUGAACGUUGGCGGCGUGGAUUAGGCAUGCGAGUCGUACGAGAACCCGCAAGGGGGACAGUGGCGAACGGGGUAGUAAGGCGUAGGUGACGUGCCCUGCGGUCGGGGAUAGCUUAGGGAAACUUAAGGUAAUACCCGAUAAUCCCGGUAGGUUUGAAGACCAUCCGGGCAAAGGUGUGAUUCCACCACAGGAGCGGCUUGCGUGGUAUUAGCUAGUUGGUGAGGUAACGGCUCACCAAGGCUGCGAUGCCUAGGGGAUGUUAGCGCAUGAUCCCCACCACUGGGACUGAGAUACUGCCCAGACACCUACGGGUGGCUGCAGUCGAGAAUCUUCGGCAAUGGGGGCAACCCUGACCGAGCGACGCCGCGUGUGGGAUGAAGGCCCUUGGGUUGUAAACCACUGUCAGAGGGGAUGAAGUGCUAGGGAGUUCUCUCCUUAGUUUGACAUAGCCUCAGAGGAAGCACGGGCUAAGUUCGUGCCAGCAGCCGCCGUAAGAC